AGCGAACGCUGGCGGCAGGCCUAACACAUGCAAGUCGAACGGACCCUUCGGGGUUAGUGGCGGACGGGUGAGUAACACGUGGGAACGUGCCCUUUGGUUCGGAACAACACAGGGAAACUUGUGCUAAUACCGGAUAAGCCCUUCGGGGGAAAGAUUUAUUGCCAUUGGAGCGGCCCGCGUUGGAUUAGGUAGUUGGUGAGGUAAAGGCUCACCAAGCCUGCGAUCCAUAGCUGGUCUGAGAGGAUGAUCAGCCACAUUGGGACUGAGACACGGCCCAAACUCCUACGGGAGGCAGCAGUGGGGAAUCUUGCGCAAUGGGCGAAAGCCUGACGCAGCCAUGCCGCGUGAAUGAUGAAGGUCUUAGGAUUGUAAAAUUCUUUCAGCGGGGACGAUAAUGACGGUACCCGCAGAAGAAGCCCCGGCUAACUUCGUGCCAGCAGCCGCGGUAAUACGAAGGGGGCUAGCGUUGCUCGGAAUUACUGGGCGUAAAGGGAGCGUAGGUGGAUAGUUUAGUCAGAGGUGAAAGCCCAGGGCUCAACCUUGGAAAUGCCUUUGAUACUGGCUAUCUUGAGUAUGGGAGAGG
rnacentral:rRNA from 1 species